UACAGAGGGUGCGAGCGUUAAUCGGAAUUACUGGGCGUAAAGCGUGCGUAGACGGUUAUCUAAGUCGGAUGUGAAAGCCCCGGGCUCAACCCGGAAACUGCAUUCGAUACUGCGGUGCUUGAGGACUCGAGAGGAGAUCGGAAUUCACGGUGUAGCAGUGAAAUGCGUAGAUAUCGUGAGGAAGACCAGUGGCGAAGGCGGAUCUCUGGAGAGUUCCUGACGCUGAGGCACGAAGGCCAGGGGAGCAAACAGG
rnacentral:rRNA from 1 species